rnacentral:lncRNA from 10 species
UGGAGAAAUAGUGUAAACCAGCAGUGUAAACAAGAGCAGGGAAUGCAUGAGUAGUUGAGAAUGGUGAAUAGGAGUAUGACUAGACAGAAGAUAGUAGGGAUGACAAGUUUUUUGGGGCACAGUCUAAGUUGGUCUGGUGUCUGGAAUGAGACUGGGACCAAAUAAAAAGGAACGUCUAUACAGGAGCUCAAAUGGGCUGUACCUUGUAGCAUUGGCGUCCCUGCAAUGAUUAAACACCAAGGGAAGGCUACCUUCCCAGUCUGUGACCAGCGCUGGAGUUUUGGGUCCAUGGAUAAAACGUGUCUCCUUUGUCUCCACCAGAAUAUGAAAGGAAUUGAAAUUGAGAGAAGGGAGAGAUUGAAGUGUGGCACCAAGAUUGAAAGGAGCAAGAGGUUGAGAGAUAGUGAGGGAAGUUGGAGAAGAGAGUAAAAAGAGGCCGCUUACCGGAUUUGAAAUUGGUGAGAUGUUUCUUGGGCUGGUCGGUCUGAGGACCUGAGGUCAUAGGUGGAUCUUUCUCACACAGCAAAGAGCAGGAGGAUGGGGGAUUGAUCUCCCAAGGGAGGUCCCCCGAUCCGAGUCACGGCACCAAAUUUCAUGCGCGGCCGUGUGAAGAAACCACCAAACAGGCUGUGUGUGAGCAACAUGGCUGUUUAUUUCACCUGGGUGCAGGCGGGCUGAGUCCGAAAAGAGAGUCAGCAAAGGGA